rnacentral:tRNA from 1 species
UCCCUGGAGGACUAAUGGUUAGGCCACAGCGUUCUCACCGCUGCAGCCCGGGUUUGAUUCCCGGCUAGGGAA